UUGAAAGGGAAACGAUUGAAGUCAGUCAUACCAACGGGAAAUCAACCUCUUGAGCUCGGUCUCGUGGGUUUUGAAGAGUUUCAAAGCCUUCGGAUUCGCGAGAUUGGGAUCUCUUGGUGUACUUUUUCGUACGGUUAGUCAACAUCGGUUUUGUAUGUCAUAAAAUGACUGGAGGAAUGUAGCUUCGAUCUCGUAUUGAAGUGUUAUAGCCUUUGGUAGAUGUGAUGUUUGAGACCGAGGAUUGCAACGGAUACCCUUCAGGGCUAUUCGUCUGAUCUCUGAUACGUUGCCUUGAUGUUGAAAGCUCGCUUAUGAUGUUAGGGUAUUACGGUCAAAAGGUUAGAACGAAUUACAUUCGUUAAGGAUGUUGACGUA
rnacentral:rRNA from 1 species